ensembl:lncRNA
GCGAGCCCUGCAGAAAUGUCUCCGGGCCACUGAUUAAUUAAACCCUGAUGGAGCCGAGGAGCAAUGACUCGAGUCGAGACUGCAGUGAGCGAGACCGGGACCACUUUAAUCGCUUGGACCGACGGGACGGUCGUGAGGACCAAGACCGAGGGCUGGACAGGACGCGUGUCCCCGUCAUUAAACGCAGCUUCAGCAGGGAGAGUGAGGACCGGUCUCGAGCCGGAGACGUGCGCCGUGUCUCCAGUAUGACGGACGAGAGAGAACGCAGGAGCCGAGACCGGACUGCCAGCCAAGAGACCGCA